CGGGGAGGUAGUGACGAAAAAUAACGAUACGGGACUCAUCCGAGGCCCCGUAAUCGGAAUGAGAACACUUUAAAUCCUUUAACGAGGACCAAUUGGAGGGCAAGUCUGGUGCCAGCAGCCGCGGUAAUUCCAGCUCCAAUAGCGUAUAUUAAAGUUGUUGCGGUUAAAAAGCUCGUAGUUGAAUCUGUGUGUCACAGUGUCGGUUCACCGCUCGCGGUGUUUAACUGGCAUUAUGUGGUACGUCCUACCGGUGGGCUUAGCUCCUCGCGGGCGGUCCAACUAAUAUCCCAUCGCGGUGCUCUUCACUGAGUGUCGAGGUGGGCCGGUACGUUUACUUUGAACAAAUUAGAGUGCUUAAAGCAGGCUACCUUCGCCUGAAUAUUCUGUGCAUGGAAUAAUGGAAUAGGACCUCGGUUCUAUUUUGUUGGUUUUCGGAACCCCGAGGUAAUGAUUAAUAGGGACAGAUGGGGGCAUUCGUAUUGCGACGUUAGAGGUGAAAUUCUUGGAUCGUCGCAAGACGGACAGAAGCGAAAGCAUUUGCCAAAAAUGUUUUCAUUAAUCAAGAACGAAAGUUAGAGGUUCGAAGGCGAUCAGAUACCGCCCUAGUUCUAACCAUAAACGAUGCCAGCUAGCGAUCCGCCGAAGUUCCUCCGAUGACUCGGCGGGCAGCUUCCGGGAAACCAAAGCUUUUGGGUUCCGGGGGAAGUAUGGUUGCAAAGCUGAAACUUAAAGGAAUUGACGGAAGGGCACCACCAGGAGUGGAGCCUGCGGCUUAAUUUGACUC
rnacentral:rRNA from 1 species